CAUUCUUUAAGCAACUUUUUUUUUUUCUUUUUUUUUUUUCAGCAGGUGAGAAAAUGCCCUGAACAUCUGCCCAGGGAGAAGAAAUUCAAUUCUGCCAGCAAUCCCAGAAGAAAUUCAAUUCUGCAAGCAAUCUCAGCCUCACCCUGCCUUCUCACAUCCCCCUUUUCUUCAACAUGACCUUAGCUCAGCCUGGGAGGUAACCACUCUGCAAAGCCUUUCUCCAGCACUGAAGUUUUUUGGGCUAAAC
rnacentral:lncRNA from 12 species